GGACUUCCCCUUCGGGGGCAGAGUGACAGGUGGUGCAUGGUUGUCGUCAGCUCGUGUCGUGAGAUGUUGGGUUAAGUCCCGCAACGAGCGCAACCCUUGAUCUUAGUUGCCAGCAUUCAGUUGGGCACUCUAAGGUGACUGCCGGUGACAAACCGGAGGAAGGUGGGGAUGACGUCAAAUCAUCAUGCCCCUUAUGACCUGGGCUACACACGUGCUACAAUGGACAGAACAAAGGGCAGCGAAACCGCGAGGUUAAGCCAAUCCCACAAAUCUGUUCUCAGUUCGGAUCGCAGUCUGCAACUCGACUGCGUGAAGCUGGAAUCGCUAGUAAUCGCGGAUCAGCAUGCCGCGGUGAAUACGUUCCCGGGUCUUGUACACACCGA
rnacentral:rRNA from 1 species